rnacentral:lncRNA from 1 species
GGGAGGGGCUGUGGGGGUGAAGGAGUCAAGAACCUUAGGCUAGGGUUUUGGGCGAGAUUUUGAUGGAAUUAGUCAAGGCUGGGCAGGAGGAGAGAGGCUGCUGAGGAAGCUGCAGGUUAGGACAGAUGAGAGCUGAGACGGAGAGCAAUGGGGAAAGAGGGUUUAAGUGUUGCUGUGGACUGUGGAUUAGAUCCCCUUUGAUGUUCUAGAAGAGAUGCUGGUCGCCUCCCUUCUGCAUGGUGUGUUCCUCCUCAUCCUUCAAGUCUUGGCUUAACUCUCAUCUUCUCAGAGGCUUUCUUUGCCUGCUCCAAUCUAAAGGAAGCUGCCCCAUUACUAUCUCUUACAGUACAGUAGGUUCAGUGAUGGCCCCCAAAAGGUACGUCCUAGAACCUGUAAAUAGGACUUUAUUUUGGACAAGGGUCUUUUCAGAUAUGAUUAAGUUAAGGAUCUUGAGAUGAGACUAUCCUGGAUUAUGUGAGUAGGCCCUAAAUCCAAUGACAAAUGUCCUUACAAGAGACAAAUAGAAGAGAAACACAAUGGGAGAAGAGGAGAAGGCCAUGGGAAGAUGGAGGCAGAGCUUGGAGGGAGGCAGCCGCAAGCCAGGGACACCCGGGGCCACCAGAAGCUGGAAGAGACGAGGGAUGGUUCUCCCCAGAGCCUCUGGAGGGAGCCUGGCUCUGCCCGCACCUUGGUUUUGGACUUCCAGCCUCCAGAACUGUGAGAGAAUAAAUUUCUACUGUUUUCA